UACGUAGGUGGCAAGCGUUAUCCGGAAUUACUGGGCGUAAAGCGCACGCAGGCGGUCUGUUAAGUUUGACGUGAAAGCUCCCGGCUUAACUGGGAGAGGUCGUUGAAGACUGGCAGACUUGAGGCGAUGAGAGGGGUGUAGAAUUCCCGGUGUAGUGGUGGAAUGCGUGAGAUAUCGGGGGGAAUACCAGUGGCGAAAGCGGCACCCUAGCAUUAGCCUGACGC
rnacentral:rRNA from 1 species